ensembl:snoRNA SNORA62 Small nucleolar RNA SNORA62/SNORA6 family
CUUGCACACCGUUAGAGCCCGGCGCAGUCCUGUCAGUGCAGUGCUGGGUGUAGGAUGUGUGCUACAGAAACGCAGUGCCUUUUUUCUCCCCUUGCUCCAGCCAUGUGUAAGAGGGAGGGGGAAUAAGGUAUAGGCCUUGCUACAUAU